GGAAUAUAAACCAACACUAACUAGGAAUUUCUAAACAAUAGAAUUCUCAAAUAAUUAGAAAAUGCUACUUCGUAAGUAAAUUUCCUAAAUAAUAGAAAAAUAAACAUCUUAAUUUUAAUAUGAAAAAUAAUAUCAAAAUAAUCCAUAAAUUUAAUUUUCCUUGAUUGCAUCAAUCUGUUAGCAAUUAAGCCAAUUUUAACCAAAAAUAACUUAAGAACCAUUAUGGGUGAAAUUGACAUAAACUGACCUGACACAAAAUGCAAUAUUUACCAAACAAAUUGGGUUGGGUAGCUGAAAUUUGGGCCAGUUUGAACUGUCUAUUAAACGAACUUAAAUUGUGUCGAUUUG
rnacentral:misc_RNA from 1 species